ACAGAUUCUAAAUCGUACUCCCCAUACAGUCAGAGGCAGGGAGUCGAGGGCAGAGGCAGCAGGCGGAGAGAGGGAGAUAGGGCGAGGGAAGGAGAACGCGGAGAGAGACGAAGGGAGUGGGAGACCAGCGACAGCGAGCGCCAGGGCACCGCAGGCACACUGGAUGCCCGGUCCGCCGGCCCAGCCGCCCUCGGACCCUGGACCGUGCGUCGUGGGCACCAGAAACGAGACUCGGCCAAAUCCUGCCUCACCAGCAGGUAGAUGAAACUCAAGAGAAAAGGUGUGGAUAAAUGAAACUAGCCCAUGAUGAACCUGUUUUCUCCGUGACCACAAUAUUAACCAGGAUGAUGGCGGUGGCAGUGGGCCUGCAUCACAGGUUGCAGCAGAUGUUCUCAAUAUUUCUAUUAAAAUUUCCUUAUUUCCAUAUGCAAGAGGAGCCCCAGAGCUGCAUCCUUAUGGUAGCUACCAUGCCGUGAUGUAAGCUGCCAUUCACUGGGGAGCUUUGGCAAUAGAAUUGGCUAGAUCAGCAAGCCCAUGUCAACUAUGGAACAACAACUUGCAGCUCAUCUCUAUUGAUGAUACACUGCCUCUAGGACUGGGACAGAUAGCCACUGAGUACCUGCUUCAAAUCACCCUGCACGUUUUCUCUUUGGAAAGAUAAGCACUGGAGAACCAUCUCGUUACCUUCAGCAAAAAUGGAAACAAAUCAAGACAUUAAGAAUGCCACAGUGGACAGCAGUUAUGCAAGGUUCAGCAGAGGAAGUUUUCAAGAUGGUGUGCCUCACUAGCCAGAAAUCAGAAAAGAUCGAAGCUAGCCUUUUCAUCUCAGCUGCUCCUUAAAUCAGUGCAACCCCUCCAAAUUAAUGUGAAUUGAAACAUGCAUUGCUUUUCAACUUAAUUGAAUACUUACUAUAUGUGAACCACUGCACAAAAUAGGGGAAGAAGAUGUGGGAGACAAAGAUGUGGAGCCUGUCUUCAAUAAAUUUACAGUUAGU
rnacentral:lncRNA from 1 species